AGAGGGUUCGAUUCUGGCUCAGAUUGAACGCUGGCGGGGAUCUUUACACAUGCAAGUCGAACGGCAGCACGGACUUCGGUCUGGUGGCGAGUGGCGAACGGGUGAGUAAUGUAUCGGAACGUGCCUAGUGGCGGGGGAUAACUACGUAAGCGUAGCUAAUACAUAUGCGCCCUUCGGGGAAAGCAGGGGACCUUCGGGCCUCGCACUAUUAAACGGCCGAUAUCGGAUUAGCUAGUUGGUGGGGUAACGGCUCGCAGGCGACGAUCCGUAGCUGGUUUGGGAGGACGACCAGCCACACUGGGACGAGACACGGCCCAGACUCCUGCAGGAGGCAGCAGUGGGGAAUUUUGGACAAUGAAACCCUGAUCCAGCCAUGCAUCCCGCGUGUGCGAUGAAGGCCUUCGGGUUGUAAAAAAGCACUUUUGGCAGGAAAAAAACAGCACGGGAUAAUACCCGGUGCAACUGACGGUACCUGCAGAAUAAGCACCGACUAACUACGGUGCCAGCAGCCGCGGUAAUACGUAGGGUGCAAAGAUAAUCGGAAUUACUGGGCGUAAAGCGUGCGCGAACCGGUUCGGAAAAGAAGAUGUGAAAUCCCAGAGCUUAACUUUGGAACUGCAUUUUUAACUACCGAGGCUAGAGUGUCAGAGGGAGGUGGAAUUCCGCGUGUAGCAGUGAAAUGCGUAGAUAUGCGGAGGAACACCGAUGGCGAAGGCAGCCUCCUGGGGGAUAACACUGACGCUCGCGCACGAAAGCGUGGGAGCAAACGGGAUUAGAUACCCUGGUAGUCCACGCCCUAAACGAUGUCAACUAGCUGUUGGGGCCUUCGGGCCUUGAUGGCCGCAGCUAACUUGCGUGAAGUUGACCUGCAGGAAUACGGUCGCAAGAUUAAAACUCGAAAGGAAUUGACGGGGACCCGCACAAGCGGUGGAUGAUGUGGAUUAAUUCGAUGCAACGCGAAAAACCUUACCUACCCUUGACAUGUCUGGAAUCCCGAAGAGAUUUGGGAGUGCUCGCAAGAGAACCGGAACACAGGUACAACAUGGCUGUCGUCAGCUCAUCGUGAGAUGUUGGGUUAAGUCCCGCAACGAGCGCAACCCUUGUCAUUGGACUUGCUACGAAAAGGGGCACUCUAAUGAGACUGCCGGUGACAAACCGGAGGAGAGGUGGGGAUGACGUCAAGUCCUCAUAGCCCUUAUGGGUAGGGCUUCACACGUCAUACAAUGGUCAGGACAGAGGAUCGCCAACCCGCGAGGAGCCAAUCGACGAUCGUAGUCGGGAUCGCAGUCUGCAGACUCAGACUGCGUGAAGUCCGAAUCGCUAGUAAUCGCGGAUCAGCAUGUCGCGGUGAAUACGUUCCCGGGUCUUGUACACACCGCCCGUCACACCAUGGGAGUGGGUUUUGCAAGUAGUUAGCCUAACGUAAGGAGGGCGAUUACCACAGUAGGAUUAAAACAGCUUUGAAGUUGAAGUCGUAACAAAGGUAA
rnacentral:rRNA from 1 species